UGGUGUGUAGCUCAGUGCUGGAGCGCAUGCUUUGUGUGUAUGAUGUCCUGGGUUCAAUCCGCAGCUUGUUCU